rnacentral:rRNA from 1 species
UACGAAGGGUGCGAGCGUAUUCGGAUUUAUUGGGCGUAAAGGGUGCGCAGGCGGCGCGCUAAGUCAACUGUUAAAUCUCCCGGCCUAACCGGGAAUCAGCGGUAGAUACUGGCGUGCUAGAGGGUGGAAGAGAGAAGUGGAAUUCUUGGAGUAGCGGGUAAAAUGCGUAGAUCUCAAGAGGAACACCGAUGGCGAAGGCAG